UUUGUACACCCACCCCUAUAUUGUAAUCAUCAAAUGUCAUUAGCAUAUUCAAAUAUUUUAAACAAAAAAACCUAGCAACCUGCAUUAGGGUCACCGAUUUAUGAAAUAACCUACAUUAUCAAAUACAAACAAUAUUAAAAUGCAAAUACACAAAACCCUAGACUCUUCUUACCUAAUUGAUGGUUCCAAGGAUCACCUCUCAAUUGAGCAUGUUAGUGCAUCAACAGCCCACAACUUUUACCCUAAUCAUGAAGAUGGAAGGAGGAUGCCAGCUGGGGAAACGAGAGGGAUGGAGUCAAAAUGGAGGAAGAAAUCAGAGCCUGCAGAGAUGGACGGGGAGGUUAGUCGGGCUAAAAGGAACUUCAAUUAAUGGGGCCUGCCAGAAUGGAGGAGGAAAUGGGAGAGAUAGCUCAAGUUCCUGACCGGAAUGGAGGAAAAAAUGAUAGGGAUUAUUUGGAUGCUUGGCAAAGGUUUUUCCUUCAAAUUCAGUUUUAAAAUCUAAGAUUACAUUAGUCAUUUCAUAUAUGUUGUUAAUGAUGUUAGAGCUCAGAUGGAUGGCUAGGCCACACUACAAUUAAAUCCUAAGUUUUGAGGUCUAAUUAAAAAAUUACAAGCUUUUGGGUACAAGGGCAAAUCAUGAAAAGUUGAAGAGGUGUCACUAUAAUUUCUCCCAAAAGAUUUUCUCCUGCAAUACCACCAUGUGUUAGAAUUUUCUUUUGUUCAUAUCUCAAUCCUUAAUAAGGACACCAAUGUACUAAAUUUCUAAUUUCCUCAAAAGUUAUCAAAUAUCUACUUCUAGAAUACGAUGUGUCACUACUAAAGUGAUACAGGUGCAUGUAGCCUAUACUGCAUAUUAUUCGAUGGUUUGGAGAUUUAUUUUUGCACUAAAUAUGGCUUUCCUUAGCUCUAUAAUGGCACAUGAUUUUAAUUUUAUUUCAAACUAGAAAAAAAUGAUAUUUGAUUUUAUUGUUUCAGUGGGAACAAAAUACCUGUGAGAAUAUGUUACCUUUUUCAUUUUAGGUAGAAGAGGGGCCAACCCUGCUAGUUUUGUGAUUGUUCAU
rnacentral:lncRNA from 1 species